rnacentral:rRNA from 1 species
GCGUGAGUGAAGAAGGCCCUAGGGUUGUAAAGCUCUUUCAGCGGGGAAGAUAAUGACGGUACCCGCAGAAGAAGCCCCGGCUAACUCCGUGCCAGCAGCCGCGGUAAUACGGAGGGGGCUAGCGUUGUUCGGAAUUACUGGGCGUAAAGCGCACGUAGGUGGACUACUAAGUCAGGGGUGAAAGCCCGGGGCUCAACCCCGGAAUUGCCUUUGAUACUGGUAGUCUUGAGUCCGGGAGAGGUGAGUGGAAUUCCUAGUGUAGAGGUGAAAUUCGU